AUACGGGGGGGUGCAAGCGUUGUCCGGAAUCAUUGGGCGUAAAGGGUUCGUAGGUGGAAUUAUAAGUCUGGUGUGAAAGCCCACAGCUCAACUGUGGAACUGCACUGGAUACUGUUUUUCUUGAGUUAUAGAGGGGUUUGUGGAAUUUCUGGUGUAGAGGUGAAAUUUGUAGAGAUCAGAAAGAACACCGGUGGCGAAGGCGACAAACUGGCUAUUAACUGACACUGAGGAACGAAAGCGUGGGGAGCGAACAGGAUUAGAUACCCCAGUAGUCC
rnacentral:rRNA from 1 species